ACGUAGGGGGCGAGCGUUGUUCGGAAUUACUGGGCGUAAAGGGCUUGUAGGCGGGAAGCUAAGUCUUUGAACAAAGCCUGAUGCUUAACAUCAGAAAGUUUGAGGAAACUGGUUUUCUUGAGAACAGGAGAGGGGAGUGGAAUUCCUAGUGUAGCGGUGAAAUGCGUAGAUAUUAGGAGGAACACCAGUGGCGAAGGCGGCUCUCUGGCCUGUUUCUGACGCUGAGGAGCGAAAGCUGGGGGAGCAAACGG
rnacentral:rRNA from 1 species